AGACUGCGAACGGCUCAUUAAAACAGUUAUGGUUUAUUUGAUGGUUCCUUUGCUACUUGGAUAACCGUAGUAAUUCUAGAGCUAAUACAUGCACGAAGGGGCGACUUACGAAGCCCUGUAUUUAUUAGAUUAAAGCCAACCACCUCCGGGUGUUCGUGGUGAAUCAUAGUAACUUAUCGGGUCGCCGGCUCUACGCCAGCGACGUGUCAUUCAAAUUUCUGCCCUAUCAGCUUUAGAUGGUAGGAUAUGGGCCUACCAUGGCGGUGACGGGUAACGGAGAAUUAGGGUUCGAUUCCGGAGAGGGAGCCUGAGAAACGGCUACCACUUCUAAGGAAGGCAGCAGGCGCGCAAAUUACCCAAUCCUGACUCAGGGAGGUAGUGACAAGAAAUAACAAUAAACCGGCUUAUGCCGGUUUAAUUGGAAUGAGUACAAUUUAAACAUCUUAACGAGGAACAAUCGGAGGGCAAGUCUGGUGCCAGCAGCCGCGGUAAUUCCAGCUCCAAUAGCGUAUACUAAAGUUGUUGCAGUUAAAAAGCUCGUAGUUGGAUUCCUGUGGGGACGGAGCGGCCGGCCGCAACUCGCGGUUCGAGCUAGCGCUUUCCCUACAUCCUGCCGCGAACCGUGCUACCAUUAGUUUGGUGGCGCCGGGGAUCGGCUCGUUUACUUUGAGAAAAAUAGAGUGCUCAAAGCAGGCCACACGCCUUGAAUAAGUUAGCAUGGAAUAAUAAUUAAGGACUUCGGUUCUAUUUUGUUGGUGUUCGGGACUGAAGUAAUGAUUGAUAGGGACAGUUGGGGCGGUCCGUAUUCCAAAGCGAGAGGUGAAAUUCUUAGACCUUCGGAAGACGAACAGCUGCGAAAGCGUUCCGCAAGGAUGUUCCCUUUGAUCAAGAACGAAAGUUGGGGGAUCGAAGACGAUCAGAUACCGUCGUAGUCUCAACUAUAAACUAUACCAGCUAGGGAUCGGCCAACGUUAUUCUAUACCGACUUGGUCGGCACCUUAUGAGAAAUCAAAGCAUCUGGGUUCCGGGGGGAGUAUGGUCGCAAGGCUGAAACUUAAAGGAAUUGACGGAAGGGCACCACCAGCCGUGGAGCCUGUGGCUUAAUUUGACUCAACACGGGAAAACUUACCAGGUCCAGACAUAGUAAGGAUUGACAGAUUGAUAGCUCUUUCUUGAUUCUGUGGGUGGUGGUGCAUGGCCGUUCUUAGUUGGUGGAGUGAUUUGUCUGGUUAAUUCCGUUAACGAACGAGACCCCAGCCUGCUAAAUAGCGCGGGUGAGCUUUGCUCGCUGCGAGCUUCUUAGAGGGACUAUGAUGCGCGAUAGCACAUGGAAGUUUGGGGCAAUAACAGGUCUGUGAUGCCCUUAGAUGUUCUGGGCCGCACACGGGCUACACUGGCGCCUGCAACGAGCAUAUCAGCUGGCCCG
rnacentral:rRNA from 1 species